rnacentral:rRNA from 1 species
UACGUAGGUGGCAAGCGUUGUUCGGAAUUACUGGGCGUAAAGCGCACGUAGGCGGACUGUUAAGUCGGGGGUGAAAUCCUGGGGCUCAACCUCAGAAUUGCCUCCGAUACUGGCAGUCUCGAGUGCGGGAGAGGUGAGUGGAAUUCCCAGUGUAGAGGUGAAAUUCGUAGAUAUUGGGAAGAACACCAGUGGCGAAGGCGGCUCACUGGCCCGUAACUGACGCUGAGGUGCGAAAGCGUGGGGAGCAAACAGG